rnacentral:rRNA from 1 species
AGCGAACGCUGGCGGCAGGCCUAACACAUGCAAGUCGAACGAAGUCUUCGGACUUAGUGGCGGACGGGUGAGUAACACGUGGGAACGUACCUUUUGGUUCGGAACAACUCAGGGAAACUUGAGCUAAUACCGAAUGUGCCCUUCGGGGAAAGAUUUAUCGCCAUUAGAGCGGCCCGCGUUAGAUUAGCUAGUUGGUGGGG